rnacentral:rRNA from 1 species
UACGUAGGUCCCGAGCGUUGUCCGGAUUUACUGGGCGUAAAGGGAGCGUAGGCGGACUUUUAAGUGAGAUGUGAAAUACUCGGGCUCAACUUGAGUGCUGCAUUUCAAACUGGAAGUCUAGAGUGCAGGAGAGGAGAAUGGAAUUCCUAGUGUAGCGGUGAAAUGCGUAGAGAUUAGGAAGAACACCAGUGGCGAAGGCGAUUCUCUGGACUGUAACUGACGCUGAGGCUCGAAAGCGUGGGGAGCAAACAGG